ensembl:lncRNA
CUUUUCCAGCAGUUCUCGGACAGCAUUUCAUUGGAAACUGCAGACUUCGGACUGUUUCUCUCCUGGGAAGGUGCCUGUUUAAAUAAAGAAUAGAAAAAUGCUAUCACUGAACUGCUACAACUUCAUGCCAAUGUUCAGCACAGUCUAACAUGACCAAAACCAAAACUAAGGCUCACUUUCUAGCUGGUCAGAAACAGAUAAAUAAACAGGUCAUUUCUCACCUGCAAUCAUCGCUGCAUUCCCCCACUGGAUCUCAGCUCUCACAUGACAAGUUCACUCUGCUCAUAAGUGGCGUUCACAUGUGGCAAAAUGGUUUACCCUGCUCGAUUGACCCAUCUGUUCCUCAAUUCCUGCCAGUAUCCUGCUCUCAAGGUAAAUGCUACUGACUAAAACUUCAGAAGAAAGAAGAAAAUAAUCCAGAAAUUGGGAUGACUCAGAGGUUUCUUCCAGUGUGAUACUUUAUGUUAGACAAGUUUUGAAAGAUAUGGGAAUUUUCCAUGGGAGUAGAAUUUGUGGUUCCUGAAGACAGCUACCAGCCACAUUCUGUCAGACUGCCUUUGAAUUCAGCUCCCUAAAUCCUUCAUACAGAGUGGUUUUCCUGAGCUUCCCUUAACAAUUUAUUUUCCACCAGAAUUUUUCAUUUUGUCACUGUAACAGCCAAUUUCACAAUUUGUACACUUGCUAUUGACAGCAGAAGUCAUACUAGACGCGUCAUUGGCUUUCUGUCACCUAAUCAAGAGUGUCUCAAAAUCCAGGCACUUAUUUGGAUACUUCAAGAAUACUUCACAUUUGGGGAAGGAAAAGAAAAUUGGUGGGGCAUUAUUUUGUAUAAUUCAGAAUUUAUUUUUCCUUGGGGAGCUGUGUUUUGUUUCUGUUUUUGCUUCCUGGGAUACACUAACAGAGGGAUUGAGACACCUAACUUGCCUUUUAAUAACCAAACAAAAAUAAAGCAGAUCACCAAAAUAUGUCAUUGGCAGCCACAGAAAGGAUGGGACUCUUAAGUCUUCAGAGGAUACAUUCCCUAGCUUCCAAAAGCUUACAUGGUUCAAAGCUCAUUGUUGGCACUGCCAGAUGACUGGGGACUACCUCCUCCCAAGCCACCCGCCAAUUCAUGACAGGGCAAGAAUUCAAAGAAAUCCCUCAGCUUUGCAUCUCGCUCCAGAAACCUCAAAAAGAAAGGCUAUUUACCUCUAACUCCUCUGAGAUCUGCUGUCUGUUCACGUUGACAGUGAAUUUACUGUGCAAACAGUGGAAGUCAGAGAAUUUCCACCUCAGCAGUACUCACAGAAGUGCACGUACCUUGCUUCUUACCGCACUCUUGCAGAGGGUAGGCCAACGAGCUGAAGUGUCAUGACAAGCUCAAACCAAUCAUCCUGCACUUAGACUGCUAAGUACUUCAACUCUUCUUAUCAAAGGUCCAGUCAUGGAAGUAGACUUUCUGAAGACUUCUGUCAACUCAAAAGGAAGGAACACCUGCAAUGCCCAGUAAUGCAUAUAACACCAUUAAGAAAGUGAAAUUUGAAAGCUUAUGCCAUCUCAAGGAAGCACUGAAGUUCUUUCCCCUUUUCUCGCAGGCAAUAACAAACAGGACAGUCCAGUGAAGAAAGGGAAGAUCCCUCCUGUCUGUUCAAGGGACUUUGAGAGCUCUCCCACUAGGGUGCAAGAAUGCAGUGAAACUUCCCAUGUGUGGGCACAAGCCAGAGAUGGCUGCUAAGUGCUCUGAAACUGCAAGAGAGAAAAUCUCACCCUUUUCAACUCCAGUAAGCAACUUGGGACACAGGCAAGACAGCUCAAGAGAGACAGUAGCCUCUUUGCACACCAGGCAGGAAAUCCCAUCUAUUUGCACAUAGUGACAUAUCUCAUGGGAUUGUUCUUGAAAAUAAGCACAGUUUCUCUUACUAAUGGACAAUCAAGCUUCUGCCAGACCUCAUGCAGUCUUCAGGUCACAAAACAGGAGUCGAGACUUGCCUGCUAGCACCUGAGAAGGGCAAUAAAACUCUUCAGGAACGGAGAGACAGGACAGUCCAAGGUUCCAAUCCCAGAGCUACUGGAUACAUACCUACAGGAGGACCUGAAACGAAACCCUCCUCAACCACAAUCACAGCAGGCUGUGCCCUGACCCUGCAGGCUACUUCGGAAGUGAGAGGAGUAAAAAAGAAGGCUAAUGCAUGCCUGACUUGGAAAUGGAGAAUGCAUCUACCAUGGAUCACAGGCUGACUCUGAAGGAAAAGGACUGUUCUUUUCUUAAUUCAGAAGGCAUGAAAGCCAAACUCCAGGUACUUCAAGUUCAAAAUAUAUAGGGUUUUUUCCCUGUGAUCUGUGUCUUAGUUUCAGCUGGGCCAGAAUUGUUUUCUUCAGAGUGCCUGGUAUGAUGCUAUGUUUUGGUUCUAGAAGAAAAACAAUGUUGAUAACACAUCAAUGUUUAUAGUUGUUGCCAAGAAGUGUUGUACAGAGCCAAGGCCGUUCCAGUGUCUCCGUGAAGAGCUGGUGUGGGGGCCCAAGGAGCUGGGAGGGAAUGGAAUCAGGACAGCUGACUUAAACUGGCCAAACAGAUAUUCCAUAGCAUACGACUUUACGCAGAAGGAGAGUUUUGAAGGGGUAGGAGUUCGUCUGGCCCUCCUCCACUGCUUUGGGAGCUAGGUAGGCGUUGAUUGGUGGAUGGUGAGCAAUUGCUUGUGUAUCACUUGUUUUAUAUACAUUCAUAUAGUCUUGACUAUAUCCGUGUACCUAUCUAGUCAUGCUUAUUUUCUUUUUCUCUAUUUUGUAAGUAAAUUUAUCUCAACUCAUGAGUUCUACUUUAUUUGUUGUUGUUUUUUUAUUAUUUUCUCCUUCAUCCCACUGGGAAGGGGGAGGGGAGAGAGUGAAGCAAUGGUGCUUAGCCACCUGUUGUGUUAAACCACAACAGUACAGUACUAUUCAAAUCUAUAUUCUAGAAAGGCGAAGAACAGACAGCCACACCAGCGGCUCAGAGCAUGUGCUUCAAGUGAUCUUGCUUGCAUGAACAUCAGAAGAUGAACAUCUUAUAUAACCCCACUUGUCCAUUCUCAUCGCCUGGUCAUACAUCUUGUUUUGCCUGUGCUACUACUGUAUCACACGUUCCCCAACUGUACUGGCUUUCUUUUAGAAAAAAUAUCAAAUAAUGCCAACAGCAUAUUCAAUACCACAGAGCUCUAACUUAUCUUUUGCAGUAUUUUCUUUUUCUAGGAUUAAACUGCUGGCAACCCAUGUUAGCAGCUAAAUUAAAGCAAAGAAGUCUAAGCAAUAGGUGCUCUUACUAGAGACUCAGACUCACUAAUUAACUUCAGAGUUAAUAGACUCCAGAUUCUUCAACCUGUGGGAAAUGGGAAACGCAACUUACUAACUUUUAGAGGAAGUAUGAUUUUUGUUUAAGUAUAUCUAUAAAUAAAGACUUCAUACUGCAACAUAAACCACUCCGUAGCAUGACAGAAGUUGUGUCUUUUGAAAAGAAACAGUCAGACUUUUGCGCAAAGGAGCAGCAUGGAUUCUUUUCUCUCCUACCUCCAACUCAAAAAUGCAUUUUCCCUUAUCACAGUCAGCACUGGAGAAGACAGCUGCAUCUGUCAGGCGCCUCUUUCUGCCAGAAUUGUAACCUGCCUCCUCUAGCUAGUAAGAGGUCUGUCAGUCAGGAAACAGUGAUGCAAAGAUACCGUCAGGAAGAAAAUGAAAAAGAGGAGCUUUGCUAAAGUAGGAUUUUGCUCUUAGUAAUUAACAGUAACAAAUUCCACACUAGCUCAUAGCAAUUUUCUAUCUAAGGACAGAAGUAAAGACAAGGAGAACAAUACAUGGUACAGUUAACUGCCAAAAGAAAUACUGGAAUACACCCUCCCGUGAACUGCAAAAUAGGAAAAAUUGAGGGAUUAAUAGUUUUAGCAAGGCCAGGUAAACAGAAGACAUCAAGAAGCUGAAGUUAAAAAAAAAAAAACGUCACAACAACAACAAAUGAAUUUCAAUCUGUUAGGACUAAAGAACCCAGGUUUCCUAACUAAUAGCAAUGACUUGAACUACUUAACUACAAACAAGGCUCUUGAAGAAAUUAUGCCCUUCAAAUUAUUUACAUAACAGCUGGGAGUUUUGAUCUUCCCUGCCCUGCAACUUCUCUCUUCCAACUGCAAAACCUUUCAUAUCCUCAGUAGUUCUCCCCCAUCACAAAACAGUGAAAAAACCCUGAUCAAAACAAAAAAGAAAUGUAGAACCCAGAAGAAAAUGGGGCCUGAGGUAAUCAAUUCAGGGGUCUACUCAUUGCUUUCUUUAGCACGCUUCCCCUGGUUCUGAGCAGCCCAGUGUUCUGAGGGAACACUGAGUAGUUUGACAUAUCACAAGGGGGAGGGAGAAGAUGGUAACAAGUGGUUGUUCCUUUUACCUUGGCUGUAAAUCUGAGUGCAACACACAGCACACUGCAUCAAUUCCAAACAACUGCAGGCAGAUAUACAGCAUACUGCUUGCUCUGACCAAGUCACAGAGCAGCAGAUUAAAAAUAAGACUCUCUGGCAAGAGGUAAAAAUGCUCAAAUGUGUUGCAAUCACAAGUCCAGAUUUAAGGAGGUCUGAAUUCUCCUAAUUCUGGAAAAACACCGCUACUAGCUUGACAGAGUAAGCCUGCCACACACCCCAAACAGCCCAACAGCAGGUGCAGCUGUUUAUGAAGCAUUUUUAAAGAGCAAUAUGGUGAAAGAAGGCUAUUCACUAGAAGUAAAAAAAUAAUUUUCAAAUCAGUUCAAAUUGAAUCUUUUAUAUGGGUAGUGUGGCAUCUAUAGCAUGGCGGAUUUUAGGGUGAGAAAUACCAAGGAAGUACAAUUUCUGCCAUCCAAAUUACCCAAGAACAUAAAUCUUAAAGGAGACAAUCUAGUCACCAAUGCCACAACUGCUUUUCUUUAACUCCAGCAAAUCUGGUAACAGAUCACAAAAUCUAGGGGUUGUUUCACUGCAUUUUUAGUGUUAAAAUACUGCAUGUUAUGACAGGCUUCUAGGAGGAGAGUUGACGAUUGACAGCAACUCCUCUAGUUCUUGGAAAGGAUUCAUACCAAAAGGAACCACACUAAGCCAUCUGAUACCACAAAUCACAUACCACACAGACCCCAAAACCUCCCUUUCUGCCACAGGGACUUAAACUUAGCACUGCCUGAACAGCAAGACCAGGCAUGUGAACUCACUAAAGAGACCAUUUGUCCUUUUGCAUAGGAUGUUUUUACUCUGUCACUCAGGAGUUCCCUUGUAGAGAAGGCAGACAUACUCAGUGCUGACAUUAUGUAGCUAUCAGCAUUCACCAGGAAUCAUUUGGCAUCAAUCUCAUUAGAUUAUUUUUUUUUCUUCCUCAAGCUGCAAGUACACUUAUUUUUCCUAUGUGGAACUGUUUGCCUAUGCCUAUGUCUGCCUGACUUGAUCAUCAUGAGGGAUGAAAGCAGGAUGUUUGUAUCAAAAUACCACUCAAAAACACUAGCAUUUAUACUUCAAUCUCUGAUCAUUAUUUAACCAACUUCAGUUGUGAUUUAGAAAAAAAGAGAAAACAUUCUGAAUCCACUUAAAGAGAUGAAAGAAAUAUAUAUAUAUAUAUAUAUAUAUAUAUGCGAUUCAGUACAAGCAACAAGAGGCAGGCAGGAACAUCUAGAUUGUUUUUUCAAAGCAUUAACCACUAUGACUGUUACCUCCAAGAAUUAAACAGAACAGGCUCUCCAGUGUUUGACCUCCAGAAAGUAAUGCUCUCAAGACAGUGACCGUAAACACCAAGCUGGCAUGCCCAGUGCCCACAGCAAUAGAUCCAAUUACUUAACCAACAAGCAUUAAAAAGCAAAUCCAGCAUGUAAGGCUCCUAUUGCAUUGUGAAUUCAAAUACAUGUAUUUGCAGAUAUAAAGAUGAGAGAACAGCACCCCUGCUACUUCUCUAUACUAUACAUGCUCUGAUUUCUUACGUUUACUUACACAUUUUGUUUUCUUAAUCUUUCAUCUUUGUUUUUCUUCUUUCUUUUUCUCUAGUGUUUGCCUGUUUGGAAGCACUUCACUCUGACUCAAAACAGAACAGUUAUUUGAUUUGAUGACGAUUUGUUUUGUGAAUGUUGUUCUCCCCACAACUGUUCACUGGAAUUUUUCUGACUUGGCUAGCAUAAAAUACUAUUUUGUUCUUCUGUCAAUUACAGAAGCAUAGAUUUAGGUGUUCAGU